rnacentral:tRNA from 1 species
GGAUUGUGGCUCAAUGAUAGAGCGCUUGACUCACAUGCUUGAGGCCCUGGGUUCAAUUCUCAGCACCA